ACUGCCAGCCUCCAAGAAGCAGGGAGAGAGAGCUACUUGCUGAGGUUGGAAGGGGGAAGAUGUUUGCUGCACUCUGCAACUCCUUGGCUGCAUCCACACUGGAGAAUUAACCCGUUUCUGAAGAAUCUUGGACCUUGCAUCAUAAAUUGACCACACUUCCAGGUCACUUCGUCAGACUGACACCUUGGCUUUGUUGCUGUACCCUGCUGAUGUGGACUGCCUGAACUCUGAGAACCGUAACUGUCUGAACAACUUGGUAUUUCCAUCCAUCAUUAACUUUACAGAUAAAUUAAAACAAUCAAAUGCCUGCGCCUAUUUGGGGCGUUUCCCCCCACUGGGAGGAGGCCGGUGGCAGCGGCCUCUAUAAGAUCCCGGCUCGCCGGCCCCGACGGAGGACGCCUCCACACACCCCUCGCCAUCGGGGAGAGAGGCCAGAGGACUUGCCUGCGCCUGUUUGGGGCGUCCCCACUGCCGCUGCUGCUAGCGCAGCCGGAAGAACUGUGGCUUGUGCCCUGAUACCAUCUGGGCAAUCUGGUGUCUUUUGUUUUUGUGGUAACUCUGGGGGUUGGAGGGCUAAUUGCUGUUUGGAUAUUGUUAUUGUUGUUAUGUAAUAUUGGCUGUUUUGUGAUAUGCUCUGAGAAUUAUAUUGUUGCCUUUGUAUUGAGAUGUAUUGCCAUUGAUGUUAUGAUG